CUCUAUAUAACCAUUUUUAAAUUUACUACUAUUCUGUUAGUGGUUUUUAGUACAUGAGCAAAUACAUACAUGUGUAUAUGUACAUCUGUAUCUAUAUCAACAUACAGAUAUACGCAACCCCCCCCCUUUCUAAAAUAAACGGUAGCCCACUUUACAUGUUUUUCUUCAUUCUGCCUUUUCUACUUAACAAUAUAACCUAGAGAUUGCUGGACUGUAGGAUUUAGAGAUACUCCUCAUACCUUUUUACACCAUACUAUAUUUCAUCAUGCAGCUGAAGCCCUUUUUACUUAACUAUAUUCCUACUGAUUCAGGCUAUUGCUAGUCUUAUUAUUAGAUAAUGCCCUAAUAGUACCUUGGGCAUACAUCUUGUCAUGUUGUUGUUAGUGUGCUUUCAGGAUAGUGUCUUGACUCUAGAUUCCUAAAAUACUGAUUUGCAGUGUAAUUACUGGGCCGCAUGGUAUGCAUCUGUUUACUGUUGCUGAAUAUUGCCAGUUUCUCCUCCAUCAGAACUCCUGGGCCGUUUGGCAUGCCUACCAGCAAGGCACUGGAAAUCCAACAACGAGCUUACUUUCCUACCUGAGGGAGCUAAUGAAGAAGGAAAUCACAUGAUUUUUCUGAUUCCGGCUGAAAGAUUCUCCCUAAGAGAAUAUACUCUUGGUUUACAUGAUUUUCUCCAUGCUUCCAUCUCUGAUAUCUGGAAAUUUGGGGUCA
rnacentral:lncRNA from 1 species